GACGAACGCUGGCGGCGUGCUUAACACAUGCAAGUCGAACGGAAAGGCCCUGCUUUUGUGGGGUGCUCGAGUGGCGAACGGGUGAGUAACACGUGAGUAACCUGCCCUUGACUUUGGGAUAACUUCAGGAAACUGGGGCUAAUACCGGAUAGGAGCUCCUGCUGCAUGGUGGGGGUUGGAAAGUUUCGGCGGUUGGGGAUGGACUCGCGGCUUAUCAGCUUGUUGGUGGGGUAGUGGCUUACCAAGGCUUUGACGGGUAGCCGGCCUGAGAGGGUGACCGGCAACAUUGGGCCUGGGAUACGGCCCAGACUCCUACGGGAGGCAGCAGUGGGGAAUAUUGCACAAUGGGCGGAAGCCGGAGGCAGCACCGCCGCGUGGGGGAUGACGGCCUUCGGGUGGUAAACCGCUUUCGCCUGUGACGAGGCGUGAGUGACGGUAAUGGGAAAAGAAGCACCGGCUAACUACGU
rnacentral:rRNA from 1 species